CCUCUGGCCUGGGUGCCGGUGACAGGAGGUGUGGUUUCUGAAAAUCUGCUGGGUUGUACACUUCCACUGCGUCCACUUUCCUGUGGGUUACACUGCGCUGAAGAGUUCCAGAAAAAACAGUGUUUGCGGCAGAAAGCUGGAAACCCCAGAAAAAGAGAAGGCUGAUGCCUCCCUCGUCUACUCAGUGCCGAAGGGGUCUCCAGAUGCAGAUAACCCUGGCCCCAGGCCGGGCUGCUCGACUCCGUCCUCACUGGGGACACUGAGCACAGGACCAGCGGGAGGAGGGUCAGCGGUCCUCCCACAGUGUGUGAACGGCAGUGUCUUGGAAGGUGCUCUCUUGCUUCAGGAAAUGGCCCCUUGAUGCCACCUCAGCCAGGCCCAGAAGCCAGGGGGACUCAGUUCCUGCCUCUGAAGGGGCCCCAGGGUGACGGGAGGACACGUCCAUCUCCAGACUCCUGAGCUCGGCCACCUCACCCUGCUCUCCCUCUGGCCACUCUGUGCCCUUUGUCAGCCAGGCCUUGACCUCUCCCAGCUCCAGGGGCCUCAUCAGCCCAAACCAAACACCGACCGGAGCAUCUCUUGCUCUGUCCACGGUUGUGGACAGGGAGGAGCAUGGUGGCUGGGUUCAGGGGUCCACCCUGGGGCCCCAGCCAGGCCUCAUGUAGUAGAGCAGGAAAAUAAAUGUGUCAGAGUGACUUUUAGCCACGGUGGAAAUGGAAACCUGCCUGCCUGGGGACCUCAAGCAUUCAGGAAUCUGAUGAUCCUGAAGUCACCAUCGGUCUCUCACGCCACCCACGCUCCUCCUUCAAGCCUUCCUUCUUUUCCAUGGACACCUUCCAGUGUCCCCAAGCCAGCUCCCUCCUGUGGGUGGAGGGCAUGGGCAGGGGACAGCCCCUUUCUCCAAGAUGCCUGGUUGAAGAUCCAGGCUGCUUCUCAGAACCUUACAGCAGACCUGCACUGCAACUUGCCAGGGGCCUGGCAGGCCUCAGUGAAGCAUCUCUGUGUGCCAGGUGGAACCCCUCGUCCUUGA
rnacentral:lncRNA from 13 species